AUUGAACGCUGGCGGCAGGCCUAACACAUGCAAGUCGAGCGAGCGGCGGACGGGUGAGUAAUGUCUGGGAAACUGCCUGCUGGAGGGGGAUAACUCCAGGAAACGGUAGCUAAUACCGCAUACCAUCAGAUGUGCCCAUAUGGGGUUAGCUCGUAGAGGGGGUAACGGCUCACCUAGGCGACGAUCCCCAGCUGGUCUGAGAGGAUGACCAGCCACUCUGGAACAAGGGCCCGGUCCAUACUCCAACGGGAGGCAGCAGUGGGUAAUAUUGCACAAUGGGCGCAAGCCUGAUGCAGCCAUGCCGCGUGUGUAGAGAAGGCCUUCGGUUUGUAAAGCACUUUCAGCGGGGAGACGUUACCCGCAGAAGAAGCACCGGCUAACUCCGUGCCAGCGGCCGCGGUAAUAC
rnacentral:rRNA from 1 species